rnacentral:rRNA from 1 species
UACCAGCACCCCGAGUGGUCGGGACGUUUAUUGGGCCCAAAGCAUCCGUAGCCGGUUCUGCAAGUCUUCCGUUAAAUCCACCUGCUUAACAGAUGGGCCGCGGAAGAUACUAUAGAGCUAGGAGGCGGGAGAGGCAAGCGGUACUCGAUGGGUAGGGGUAAAAUCCGUUGAUCCAUUGAAGACCACCAGUGGCGAAGGCGGCUUGCCAGAACGCGCUCGACGGUGAGGGAUGAAAGCUGGGGGAGCAAACCGG